rnacentral:lncRNA from 1 species
CCCGCAGCCCCAAAGCCGAACCCCACCCGAAGCCAUCUCCGCCGGAGUCCGCGCCCUCGUCGCUCCGGUCCUCCUCGGCGUCCGUGUCCAGGCGGGAUGGAUGCGGCGCCUCUUCCCGAUCUCCCCGGUGCCCGUAGCCUCGCCGGAGGCGGUCUGUGACGCCGGAGCUCGUCGCCGGAGCGCGCCGGUCCUCCUCUGCAUCGCGGGCGAGCGGGAGGAGGAAGAAGGAGCUAGGCCGGGCGGGCCCCAUCUCCACGCGGCCCCACCUGUCGGCGGGUAGGCGUUGACCCUGCCUGCCUAGUUAGAUAAGUGACGGGCCCCACAGCCCGUGGGACCCGCACGUCAGCUGCUCAAGCCCCUGCCCCGCCUCUGCCACGUGUUUAAGUGGAGGCGUACUCCGUUGAGUACGUUUUCACCUUCGGGAAAGGGCAUUUUCCCUCUGCUUUAGCUGAAAGUACGCUUACUUUUACUGAAAGCGUAUUUCCUCUCUGUUUCAGCCCAGAAUGCGUUGUCUUAAUCAGGAAGCGUAUUUCUAAAUUUGCGCUUCUGCCUUAUCCACUCAGGGACUUGUUUGUGGUGAUAUUUUUACAGAAAAGUCCCUGAACUUCAACCCUUCAUAUCUUUUUAAACACAACUCCAAAUGAGGUGAUUCCAAAGCCCACGUCUUCGUUUCGUCAAACCCGUUCUGUUGGUUUCAUUUUCACUUGGUUUGGCACUAUGAAAAUGACCUUUUUGCCCUUGCACGUAAACAGCCCCUCCGAGAGAGAACUGUUUCUGGCAAAUCUUUUCGCGGCUUCACUGCACUCCUUCCCGGUGCCUUCUUCACCCCAGGCAAGCCACAAUACCCACUUGCAUGAUAGUCAUGCAGUAGCCAUGGUUUUCAACUUGAAUAUUUAUUAAAUGUUUGCUUGUUUAAAAUAUGGUUAUCGUUGUUGCUUCUGGGUUAGUGCUUACUUUCUUGCUAUGUUGUUAUGCACCUGGUUGUCAUGCCCUGCUAGUUGCUGGUAUUCCUUUCAUAUGCUUAUGCUUGCUAGUAGUACAUGUUGAUGUUGGUAAUGGUCUUCGGUGCAUGACGGCCAUCUGUCCCGAGUACCGUUGUUAUACAUGUUCCAUUGCAUCCAGUUGGUUAAAUGCUUGCACGCUUGCAUUGUUGUAUGUUCAUGCAUGAUAUUUAUGGUUGAUGCUAGUGGUCAUGUUAUGCUAUGAGUAGUGUUGCACUUGUAAUAUUUAUGCUCGUCAUUAUGCCAUGUUCAGUUGGAGAUUAUUCAUAGUUGAUAUGGUGGAUAGUUAUGUUGCAUCCCGUGCUUAUGUUGAUAUCAUUCUCAUGCUUUGUAUAUGCAUCAUGUUAUUUUAUCAUGGCUCAGCAUAUUGCAUUCAAGUUUAACCGGAUUAAAUUGAACUUGAACAACUGUUGGCUGAGUCAUGGUGCCACCAUAUCGAAACUGACCAGUGCAACAAUGCUUACCUUAUGGGGAGGUCCUAACUGGGUCUAUUGUCGUGCCUAUCGCCGGUGCCUCCAACUAGGGAAGGCUAUGGGUGUGCUUACCCUGAUCAGGUAGGCGGACAUAACCUUGUGUGCUCGUAGGUUGGAUGAUAAGCGCUUUUGUCCCUGUUUGGGACGGACCACGACGGUGGUCGUUGUGUCUUUGGUAGACACGGGGCCACCCAGGACUAGCCCAAUGGGGAGUGAGUCGGAGUGGCCGGGAGAGUGUCAUGGCAGUAGAUCGGUUUUGUCGGAACGCCGUUGGUCCACCCGAAUGGGAAUGCGAGGCCAUGGGUUCUGUAGUGUGGGUACAGUGUACUAACCUCUGCAAAGUGUAUAUUAAAUCUAUCGAUAGCCGCGCUCGCGGAUAAGGGCCCAGUUCGUGUCGGUCCCACCGUGAGUCAAAGUAUUAAUAAUAACUUGAUUAAUGACAACCCCGGUUCGACGAUGAGAUAAGUUGGUUGUAAUCGCCGGAAAGAUCACCGUUUGAGAGCAAGUGUUGGUCAUGGUUGUGAUCGCCGGAAUGAUCACCGUGGUAUCGAGGAUACCGAGUUGUUGGAUAUUCAUGAUAUUGUGUGAGAAUCGUGGGUAAAGAUCAAGCUCCUUGUGGUCAUUUAAUGAUUACUAGGGUAUUGUUUAUACCAAGCUUGAUUUGAUCCUGAGAUGAUCGUGUGAUGUCCGAGGUUGGUAAGUGAUGCAUGUGAUGGUUACAUAGUAACCCGAGCAGAAUAAAUAGUGCAUGUAGUGUCAUCAUGUUGCAUGCUAGUAUCAUCAGAUUUAUAUGUUCAUGCCAUGAUCAUAUAUUGUCCUAGCGAUAUUAUGUUCAUAUUGUUCAUGCCAUGUUAUCCUGAUGAUCUCAUGAUAAUCCCUGAUUAACCUGUAAUUGCCAUGCUGUUGUUUGUCUUGAAUGCUUCUGGUUAAUUGUGAGCUUGCAAGUACAUUCAAUGUACUGACCUGGCGUGUCAUGCCAGCUUGCAGGUCGUGCCUGGAUUGCAUGCUUGUUUGCCGUGGAUUCUUUGUUUGCGAGCUAGGAUAAGCGUUCCAGCCAGAGUCCAUGCGGAGUGGAGUUCACCACUAUCGUCGUUAUUCCGCUGCUAGAGUUAUUCCGUUGCUUCGAGUUGUUCUACUGCUUGCAUAGAGCAACUGAGGAUGGCGUAGUGUCGCCGUGCCGAUGUUAUUCAUUGUACUAUCGGAGACCUUGUAAUCAUAUUCGUGUAAUAAUAGAAAGCUGGUUUGUUCUAUGCUAAGUAGUUCCGUAUUCUAGAAGACUUCUCCUCGAUCUCUGGGCUGGAAUACGGGGCGUUCCGGUUUUCUCUGAGCCGGGGUGCCACACAGUGCCUUUCAAAUAACGCAAAACUCUCUCUAGAGCUUUCCAAUGCACAUCUCCUGGUUUUGAGACAAACCGACUCAGUUUGCUAACAGCAAAAGAGAUGUCAGGUCUUGUAGCACUGGCUAAGUACAUAAGCG